rnacentral:rRNA from 1 species
AGAUGCUGCAGUUAAAAAGUCCGUAGUCUUAGAAAUAUAAAUCGGGAUAUGAUAUCUCAGAAAGAUAUGAUAGAGGAGCCAAUGGGGAACAUAGUAUACAAGGGCGAGAGAUGAAACGUCAAGACCCCUUGUGGACUAAGCGAGGCGAAAGCGAUGUUCUUGUGGGUAUCUGAUGAUCAAGGACGAAGGCUGGAGGAUCGAAAGUGAUUAGAUACCGCAGUAGUUCCAGCAGUAAAAGAUGCCGACAUGCCGAUUGGAAACAGUCGGCAGGGAGAAAUCUUUAGAGUUCGGGCUCUGGGGAUAGUAUGCUCGCAAGAGUGAAAAUUAAAGAAAUUGACGGAGCUACACCACAAGGAGUGGAUUGUGCGGCUUAAUUUGACUCAACGCGAGGAAACUUACCAGGGGCAAGUAUUGUGUAGAAAUGAGCAAUACAGAAGUGGUGCAUGGUCGUUGGAAAUUGAUGGGAUGACUUUGAGCUUAAAUGCUUGAAUGAGUGAGAUCUUAAGACAUGUUUUCUACAAAACAGGAAGGAAGAGGCUAUAACAGAUCAGAGAUGCCCUUAGAUGCCCUGGGCUGCACGCGCAAUACAAUAGCACAUAAAUAAAAAGAUAGGAAAGUGUUUUGAUGGAUUAUGUGUUGUAAGACAGAUAUGAAAGAGGAAUUCCUAGUAAGUAUGUAUCAUCAAUGGAUAUUGAAUAAGUCCCUGUAGCU